rnacentral:lncRNA from 1 species
UUUGAAAACUACUAUUACUAUUUAUUCAGUUGUAAGUGAACUGAAUUUGGAGUCACGGUUUUCAAAUUAUAUGUGCAUAGUCUUGGGAAAUUUAACAUUUGUGAUUCUUUGUUUCUUUAUACAUAAAUUUAUAGUAAUAUAAUUCACUCCGAAUAAUUAGUAGAAUGACUAGCAGGUAUAUAUGUUGCCUAUUAAGUUAUUUCCUAUUAAUGGCAAAUAUUCGUUGAUAAAGAACAAAUAAAUAUUUUUUUUCACUCCAAGAGAUAAAAAUCAAGUAUAAAAAUCAAGGUAUAAGUUCUAUCUAAAGAUAAUAUCAUUAAUGCAAAUAUUGUUAAUAAGCUCACUUAGUCUAUUGAUAGACAAAUUGUGGUUUCCAUCUUUACUUGUCACCGUUUUAGUGCUGAGACAAGCCAGGAAAGAAAAGCCUUUUGCUCAGGAAGCUGCUCAGUGAGCUUGUGCCAGGAGGCUGAGCACCCUCCUGUUUUACAUUCUCCUUUUCCACCAAGCAUGUUUCAUCCAUAUCCCAGUGGCACUCUGAGCCUGGACCAACUGUCUACUGCAGAGUUGCUUUUCUGAAAAUAUGUGAGUCAUAAAAGCCUUUAUUGAAAAUUGGAAGCUGACUUUCCACUCCGCCUUGCUUGGGGUUUACAUUUGGAAGGAGAGGAGCUGCUUAGAGACAUGGGGAUUGACAGGGCAGCUCCAGGCCUACUAUCUGCAGACAGUAGUAGCUGAAUAUCCUUCCAAACUGCAGCAUCUCUUCUUUCUCCAGAGGCUGCUAAUGUACUUCAGUCCCUUCACCACCAGGGAAGUACUAUGGUCGACUAAAAAAACAAAACCAAAAGCAAAACCCCAACCCUGACUGCUGGAUGAUUAGGCGCUCUUCUGGUAUUGCCAUACUUUUCUUGCUUCUUGGUUUUACAAAUGUAAAGAAACCAUCAAGAGCAGGAUGGGAACAACAUGAUGAGAUUAAUUCAGGAGGAGAGAUGCGAAUAGAAUUUCACUCAAUGACAUGAUACAAUGAAAUUCCCUAAUCCAAUCUGUGAUAUCUCACAUGGUUGUUCUCUGGUCAUCAGCUGUAAAAUUUACUAUGAAAUUCUGAACAUGUAUAGUUUAUACGCAGAGCAAAUAUACUUUAUUUUUAGGAUUUAAUAUUUUCCUUACUUUCAUUAUCUGUUAUAUGCUUAUUUGCUCCUGCAGUAAAAAAUAAUAUAUCAAGUUCAUUCAUAUUAAUGUUAAAGUAUUUGUAAAGCCUCUUCUUUCUCAAUUUUCCAGGGUUUUAUCUGCAAUAAGUGACAAGUUUCAAUUUAAUUCAGAGAAUUAUAUUUCUCAGGCAAAUACUAAAAGUUUUAGUCAAAAUUUAUGAUGAAAUGCUUGGUGAGUGGUGGGAUGGAUUGACUAUCAUGAGAAAAUAAAAUGCUUUCUGGCCUUGGUCAGAGACACUAGAGACACAAAAUCUCUCUAGAAUGUGAUCAGAAAGUCAUUCUAAUGACUAUUUCAAGAAAAAUUAAAAUACCCAAAUGUAGUAAUCUUCCUUUGGAAGAAUUUGUCCUGAACAAACAAACAAAAACAACAAAAACAAACAAACAAAAAGUAGAAAAAGAAAAAAAAUGAGGUCAAUGCAAAAGGAGCAAUGGAAAAUUCUACCAAUGAGCUUUUGUCAAGCCUUAAAGCUCCUGUCUUAGUUAAGUUUCCAUUGCUCUGUUAAGAUACUAUCAAAAAGAACAACUUAGAAGGAAAUGGUUUCUAGGUGCCAAUCCAUCAUUGAUGGAAGCAAAGGAAUGAAGGAACACUGCUUACUGCCUUUCCUGAUAGUUUGCUCAGUUUGCUUCCUUAUACUACCCAGAACCACUUUCCCAGGGAUGGUACCACUCACUAUAUGGUAGGCUGUUCCUCAUAAGCCAAGAAAAUGUGCAGACUUGACCACAGGUACUCUUAUGGGGCAUUUUCCCAAUUAUUAUUCCCUCAUUCCAGAUGUGUCUAGUUUUGUAUCAAGUUGAAAAAGACACAUUGUCAUUAUUGGAUGUCUUUUUAGGUACUUCUAAAAAUCUUUCAUAUGCCUUAAUCUUUUCUUAUUUUUUCAAUAUACUAGUUUAUUUAUUCUUUGACAAUGCUAUCAUACAAUACAUUUCAGUCAUACCCAUCUUAGUCUUUCCUUCAAUUACCUGCUUCAUAAUCCCCCUCUAAAUUCAUGCUCUUCCCAGUUUAAAAAGUAUAGCUCACUGAGUCCAAAGAUUGUUUCAAUAUAUGCAUAAAUGUGUAGCUAUCCACUGAAGCAUGGCCAGUCUACAGGGUUUACAACUCUAAAGAAAAACUGGCUUUUGUUCUGUAGCAGCCAUUAACUGUUAGUAGCUCCUUUGAUAUGGGCUCCUAAGCCCCUCCUUCAUCCAUGCUAGAAUGUUGACUGGCUCCAUUGUGUAGGAAACUAUGAGUCCCUGAGUACAGCAUCCUGCCAUGUCUGAAAGAGAGGUUUCUCCAGUCAUCCACAGCUUCUGGCUUUCACAAUCUUACAGCUCAGGAUGAUUUCAUUAUACUUCGGUGAGGUUUAUUGAAGAAGGAAAUGAUUAGAAUCAUUUCAACUUUUUAGUAUAGUAUCAAGGCAAAUUGAAAUAGAAUUCAUUUAAGAUGAAUCAACAAACACACUCAGGUUUCACUGUGGAUAUUUGUGUUCAGAUAAAUGGAGGGUGACAAAAUGAAAUAAAAUUAGUACAACAUAACAAUAUUUUCAUGCAGUUGACAUGCAAAGUUUGGUUCAUAUAUUUGGUAAAUAUGCAGUUCCCUUGGGCUGCCUCAUGUACUCACCCUCUGUGUAUUCCUUUGGUGGAAUGUAUGUACUAGAACAGUGGUUUCCAAACUUUCUAAUGCUGUGACCUUUUAAUAUAGUUCCUUAUGUUUUAGUGACCCCCCCCAACCAUAACAUUAUUUUUGCUGCUACUUUAUAACUGUAAUUUUGUUUCUGUUAUGAUUUUCAAUGUAAACAUCUGUGUUCCAAUGGUCUUAGGCAACCCCUGUGAAAAAGUUCUUCAGCCCCUGUGGUCAUAACCCACAGGUUGAGAACUAUUGCACUUAGAAAGAAGAGCAGGCCCAGUUCUUAGUUAAAAAACAAACAAACAAACAAACAAACAAACAAAAAAACAAAGCAAAGCUAAAUAAAACAAAACAAAACAAACCUCAAUUUUGCUACCACGUGGUUAAUGUCUCCUGAGUCAAAAGCAUUCAGGAGUCUGACAUAAUAAUCACACUUGCCUGCAGUCUCUUACCUGUUGCUUUAUGCAGAUGCCAUUUCCUUUCUUUGCUGAUUUCGUUUUUGUUGUUGUUUUUCAGAGGGGCUCUCUACAUAGCCCUGGCUGUCCUGGAAUUCACUAUGUAGACCAGGCAGGCCUCAGACUCUCAGAGAUCUACCUUUGCCUCCCAAGGGUUGGGAUUAAAGGAGUGUACCACUGAAUCCAAGUUUGGGUGCCAUCUUCUUAACCUUUUUAAAUUUUACAUCAAAUUUAAAAUUCUCUAUUAUAGUCUAACCUCCUAUCAGGAUUUACUUAUAUUGUUCUCCGCAGGGAACUAUUACAUUCCACAUGCUCUCCUAGUGUACAGAGCAAUUGUUUUUCAUGUAAUAUGACUUUUUUAUAUGGCAAUUUGUCUUUGAGACAUUUUCCCCAAUCUUCUCUGGCCACUAGAAUGUGCUGUCAAAGUGUUUGUGGUAACAACAAAAACAAAAUCAAACAAACAAACAUAAAUCAAAAAGCCAAAAUUUAUUGUCUUGAUUGGACUCUUGAGCUCACCUCUAGAAGGUAAACUUCAGUUGUCAUAGAUGUCCUAUAUUUGUCAACAGAAUAUUGCCAAUUAGAGCAUUACAACCACCUCAAUUCUAUUUUAAUAAAAAGUGAAAAUUCAAAGUUCUUGUGGUUAUAGCCCUAAGGUUGCCAGAUCAGACAGACAUGCCUCAGGUUAUUGGCCUAUGGCACUGGGAUUUGCUCCCUAAUCAACAAAGCCUGCAAUGAAUUCCACAGGAGUCCCCAGACUUCUUUUCUUUAUGAUGUGCCUUCAGUGCCUUCCUUUUCCUGCUGUAGGUGAUUAAAUAUUUUUGAUUUGUCUUUUCUUCCUAAAGAAGUUCAAGAACUUAAUUAGUAUUUGAACAGAAUCUUUGCUUCUGUGCAGUUGGCAGUGUAGGAAAAUCAGGGGAGAGGGUUUGGAGAGCAUUAAGUAAAGAAGAGUGCAAGCAAUUAAUUCCAAUCUAUGGUUGAGAUAGGUGAGCCAAAAGACAAAAAAAAAAAAAAAAAAAAAGUACCGUAGUACCGUUUCAUGCUACAUUUUUCUAUUUUUAUAUCCAGACUCUCCCCACCCACUGUUCUCUGUGUGUGAACAAAAUAUAGCUUCCUGAUAUAAGGUGAAAUGCAUUGUAACUAUUACCUCUUUUUAUUUUUGCCUUAUCAGGAAGCUUGCCUCAAAACCAGUUAGCUCUGAGGUCCUGUUUGGAGCUUGGCAUCUCUUUUACUGUGGGUUGAAAGUGACUUGGAGAAAGAAGCUGACAAAAAUCCCCAGCAAUCAGCUGAGUGUUUACAUAAAGGCUCCAUCAUUUCUCAGGCCUGUCUGUCUUCUGGUGUAUUUUAAGACUGCUUGUACAGAGAGAAACAUGCAGUUAACAAGAUGAGAGCUUCAACUAAACAGGCUGGAACUUUCUUUCAUGAAUGAAUUGUUGAAAUAAUUUAAAUGAGAAGCUUCUAACUUAAAACUGGACCGGACACAGGAAUUCUGCAUUCUAAUUGCAGCUCUGUCCUGGGUUCACUUGGUGACUUUGUGGAAGUGACUAGAUUCUCUGGGCCUCGGAAGCUUCCUUCAAAACAUGCGGUGCAAUAUUGUUAAACAAUGAGAGCCUACAAUGACAGAAUAUUAAUGUAAAUUUUCUUCACAUAUCAGACUAAUGGUAUAAUACCACAGAGUAUACCCUGCACAUAGUUUGAUCAUUGGAUAUAUGAUGAAAAUUUUCUGUGGAUAAUAUAUUUCUGUCCAUUAAAGAUAGCAUUUAAAGUUUUGAUCCAGAUUUCUGGUUAUUUCUAUGCAAAUGUAGCUAUGAGUUAUAGCUGCUAUUUUCUCCCAGCAAAUAGUGUACAUACUAAAGAAUUUCUCUAUACUGUGGCUGCAAAACCCAUUCAGAACUAAAAAGAGAAGGUGGAGAGUGAAGAGGGAUGAAGAGGAGAGAAAAAGGAAGGUGUGAGAGAAGGAAGGAAGGGAGUCAUAUUUUAACUGGCUGUGGGGCUAUGGGAUUGCCAUUUUGUUCCCAUUAUUCUUAAUUUCGUAUUCUUCUUCACAAUAAUGGUAAUUGGAAGAUGUGAAAAUGUUCAGUCUGAAUAUUUAGCUCUGAUUCACUGUAUUGUUAUUUCCUAACACCAGAACACUUUAGACCGUGUUCUUUUGACCGGUUUUCAUUUCUGUGUUUUUCUCUCUCAUUUCUAUAUUCAUGAACAAUGAAUGAACUCUGAACAUUCAUGCUCCCACGUUCUGCUGGAUUUUCACUCUCAGAUGUCCUAAGCAGAAAAUAAGACCGACAAAGCUGAGGACCAAAUUAAAUAUUUUGGAUAUUUUAAUAUAUCCCAAUAUAUUGAUUUCUGAAUUAACUUCAUGUAGUAGCCAUUUACAUCAUUUUAUUGACUGAAUUCCUACUCAAGUAUUUUUUUAUUUGCAUACUACUUUUUAAACAGAAGAGCCUCUUGAAUAUUAAUGAAAUGAUGAGUAUAAUCUGCUAGGUUUUGCACUGUAUUUUUGCACCAAUAUUUUUAUAUUAAGAAGUGUUUAUAGUGAUAUUAAGAUAAUAUGUAAAGCAAAGGACUAUGAUUUAACUAGAAGAUAAUAAAAUCAUGGCUUAGAAUUAUUUAAUCUACACAUGAUAAUACUUUCUACUAUCACAGAUAUAUUGUAGCAUAAUUUACCACAAAUAAUUCAUUAAUAUAAUGCCAGUCACUUCUCUUAUCUUCAGGUAUUACUGUGAUGAGUCUUCGGACUACAUCAAAUCAUUACUGAGCCACUGUCUAUAACAUUUGCAAUUAAAAUUCAGCAAAUAUUCAUUGGAUAUUUAGUAUGUUAUGCUAGGUUAUGGAGAUGCCAUAGUGUGUAUAACAUGAACUUAUUGCCCAGGAAGAGAAAGAGAAAUAAAGGUAUAGAAUAGAAAUUUUUAGAAAAUUAAAUGCCUACCAUUUUCUAUUUAAGUCAGAAUGUAUAAUGUAUGAAUAUGCCAUAUUCUAACUAGUUUAUAAUUCUCAUGAUUUCAUUGAUGCUAAAAUGAUUUCUUCAAACUAGGACAUGACAAAGGAAAUGGGAUAUCUCGAACAAACACUUGGCAAAGAUCACUUCAAAUAAGAAUACCACAAAAUAUUUAACUCCCCUGAAAAAUUAGCUCACAUUUUUAGUUUUCAUCAUUACAUUCCAGCCUCUCUUUUACUUUUAUGUAUGACAGACACUUUGAGGUAGACAAUAGUCUAGAUUAGAAUUCCAUUUAGGUAGACUCUGUUCAGUCAGGUUGCAAAGCCACCCAGCUAUCACUUCUUUAAACAGAUAGCAGAGUCACAGUUAUGUGAUUAUUACUGAAGACAUAUUAAAAGUAUUCUUAUUUCUUUUAUGUAUUUUAUUUAAAUGUUCUUAAAAUGUCUUUUAGUGAAUGUUUUAGAUUUUUUUUUUCUAUAUAACUGUUUGGUCUUCUGGUUGUAGUUAAACUCUUAGAUGUAUUUUACUGGCUUAUUUACUUAUAUAUGUGCGAGUGUAUCUGUGAGAGGAGGGGGUAGUGUCAGGGUAACUUUAUCACUCUAUUUUUUUCUUUUUCUGAGACAGAGUCUCUCUGUGAAUCUGGGGCUUGUUCCCCCCAACCUCAAAAUCCUUUUAUUAUUAUAGCUUCCCAAAUCCUAGGUUCACAAACCAUCUUUAAUUCUCAUUUUGAGAAAAAUAUAUCGUUUAAGUGUAUUACAACAUGUACCAAUAACAAAGUAUUUGGGGGCUUAAAGAGAUGGCUCAGUGGCUAAGAUCAUUUUCUGUUCUAUCAGUCACCAGGCCAGACAGUAGUACCCAUGUGAAAGCCACAUAUCGUGCAUAGGCCUGAAACUCCAGCUCAGAAGAGCAAGGAGAAAGCAAACAUUUCUGGGGCUUGCUGGCUUUUCGGCUGACUUUAGUAUAAGUACAUAAUAACACAUAAUUUAAAAAGCAACUGAUUAUAACAAUCACCACAUGAACAAUAG